rnacentral:rRNA from 1 species
AACGAACGCUGGCGGCAUGCCUAACACAUGCAAGUCGAACGAGACCUUCGGGUCUAGUGGCGCACGGGUGCGUAACGCGUGGGAACCUGCCCUUAGGUUCGGAAUAACUCCCCGAAAGGGGUGCUAAUACCGGAUAAUGUCUUCGGACCAAAGAUUUAUCGCCUUUGGAUGGGCCCGCGUUGGAUUAGCUAGUUGGUAGGGUAAAAGCCUACCAAGGCGACGAUCCAUAGCUGGUCUGAGAGGAUGAUCAGCCACACUGGGACUGAGACACGGCCCAGACUCCUACGGGAGGCAGCAGUGGGGAAUGUUGGACAGUGGGCGAAAGCCUGAUCCAGCAAUGCCGCGUGAGUGAUGAAGGCCUUAGGGUUGUAAAGCUCUUUUAACCGGGAUGAUAAUGACAGUACCGGGAGAAUAAGCUCCGGCUAACUCCGUG